ACCACGAACGGGUGGAGUCUUGGUACGGUUUAAUUGGAUUCAACGCCGGAAAUCUUACCGGGACCGACAGCAAUAUGAAGGCCAGGCUGAAGACUUUGCCGGAUUAGCUGAGAGGUGGUGCAUGGCCGUCGUCAGUUCGUACUGUGAAGCAUCCUGUUAAGUCAGGCAACGAGCGAGACCCACGCCCACAGUUGCCAGCGUACUCUCCGGAGUGACGGGUACACUGUGGGACCGCCGCUGCUAAAGCGGAGGAAGGAAUGGGCAACGGUAGGUCAGUAUGCCCCGAAUAUCCCGGGCUACACGCGAGCUACAAUGGUUGGUACAAUGGGUAUCUACCCCGAAAGGGGACGGAAAUCUCCUAAAACCAAUCUUAGUUCGGAUUGAGGGCUGCAACUCGCCCUCAUGAAGCUGGAAUCCGUAGUAAUCGCGUUUCAACAGAACGCGGUGAAUACGUCCCUGCUCCUU
rnacentral:rRNA from 1 species